rnacentral:rRNA from 1 species
UACGUAGGGGGCUAGCGUUGUCCGGAAUCAUUGGGCGUAAAGCGCGCGUAGGCGGCCAGAUAAGUCCGGUGUGAAGUCACAGGCUCAACCUGUGAAUGCCGCUGGAAACUGUCUGGCCUAGAGUCCGGAAGGGGCGAGUGGAAUUCCUGGUGUAGCGGUGAAAUGCGCAGAUAUCAGGAGGAACACCAAUGGCGAAGGCAGCUCGCUGGAACGUACUGACGCUGACGGCGCGA